CUGCCUCGGGGAUCCUCUACUUCAUGCCAAAUCAGAGGAGGAUCAAGUAAAGAAGAAGCCGAGCUCCUCCAUCUUCAAAACUCGUUUGAGGGCUUCUCUUUACUCUAUUUGUUUAUAUUGUCAUAUCUGCUUGUUUAAGAAGCUUUGAUUUGUUUUUAUUCUUUGUUUUAAUAUCUUGUAACUUGAUUCAAUCCCUUGAUUGAAUCAAGGGGUUAAAGGUUUGUUGGUGAGCCAAAGGGAAAACCAACGGUGUAAGGUUUGUUGGUGAGCCAAAGGGAAAACCAACGGGAUUAAGGUUUGUUGGUGAGCCGAAGGGAAAACCAACGGGGUUUAGGUUUGUUGGUGAGCCGAGGGUAAAACCAACGUGUAAGGGUUUGAUUGUGAGCCCGGAAAAACAAUCGGGGUUGGUUCUAGUCGGUGAGCCUGG
rnacentral:lncRNA from 1 species